UUUUUUUUUCUUUUACUAAACAAUAAUUACAACGCGAUGAAGUCCGGCUCCUGUUGUCUGGAACAAACGCCAACAACUCCAGGUGUUAAAGGUGAAGUGACGUCGUACCAGAGUUCAUCGCGAAGAACCGGACGGACUAAACGUUCGAGCCGGAUGUUCUUGGCUCGAAGGCUCGAAGGCUGAUAGAAGAUUCUCAAACCGCCUCCGUCAUGUUGCGAUGUUUCGUGCUGCGCCCCUGGAUGCCACUAGGCGACAGACUAAGAUCGCAGGACGUUGCUCCACCCGACGCAGAUACCACAGGACUCCCUGACCUAGAGGUCUGUGUUAAUAUAAUGUGUCCAAGGAUUGUUUGACCACAAUCUUAAACCUCUUAAUAUUCUUUUAAUUGUACAUAUGUGUGUGUACCCGCGGAGGUCCUCACCGCUCCUCCUCAUUCACAUCACAUACUGGCACAAGGCUGAUAAUGAAUAUGCAGAUCAAAUUAAUCAGUUUCAUGUCCUUGUCAUUGGAGGCCUUUUAAGUUAUUUGAGCGGACAAAACUGCCCAGCUUGACAUUUUGACAAGUGCGUUUUCUCAGGGUGAGUGUAAGGGGGGGAAAUGCGUCGGUGCUUGGAACAGGAUGUUAAUUUUGUCCCCACACGAGCAUGCCUCGAAUCAAGCGACAACAAUUUAGAUUUAAUCUCAGCGAUGUUCUUAUUUCAUCAUUAUUUGAGCUGAAGUAAACUCAACCGCGGUGGGAAGUAAACCCCUUGUAAUCCAAUUUCCUGCUUUGCUACAGUUAAACAUAAAGAUGACUCCCUACGAGAUGCAAUUACUCCUUAAAUGUGUUUUCCUUGUCAUCUUUUAUAAUUCACUCGCUUGUAUAUCCGUGUGCCGGAGCGCAUUCGCGGUUUUUUAUUCCGAGUAGCCCGCACUGCAUUCCUGUACUACAGUAGGAUAGAGCCAUUUCCGCUUCUGCAACGGCAGGCGAGUGAAACAAAAGGCUGAUCGGUGGAUGCGCAGAUUUCAGCACCACAGAAGGUGGACAGCGCUCCAGGCAGCCUGAGUGUGUGUGGAUGGACAGCUCCCACCGACAC